AGAGAGAUCUGAUGCUCAGGCAAACAAAGCUGUAAGGCGGCAGGAACAGCGACCAUGCUGGCUUUCCAGUGGACCAGGAGGACCCUGAUGAGCAAGGAGCUGUGUGCACAGUGGCCCAGCAGCGGCAGCAGUAUGGUGUGGAUGCAGCCAACAAAACCCAAAGCAUCUGAUGGACAUCCCAAGAUGGAUCUGUG